UACGUAGGGUGCGAGCGUUAAUCGGAAUUACUGGGCGUAGAGUGUGCGCAGGCGGCCGAGCAAGUCGAGUGUGAAAGCCCCGAGCUUAACUUGGGAACUGCGCUCGAAACUACUUGGCUAGAGUGUGGCAGAGGGAGGUGGAAUUCCACGUGUAGCGGUGAAAUGCGUAGAGAUGUGGAGGAACACCGAUGGCGAAGGCAGCCUCCUGGGCCAACACUGACGCUCAUGCACGAAAGCGUGGGGAGCAAACAGG
rnacentral:rRNA from 1 species